AAGAUGAGAAAGGAAGCUUGGUCACGUGAUCGGCAUGACAGGGCAGCGGGGCAGCUUGCUGGGGAAGCGCCUCUAUGCCUGGAUGGUGCUGGACACAGUCAGUACAUAUUUGCUAAGCAUGUUUGGUAACGGCCUUGGAAUGAACGUUAGUUCUGAGUCAGAACCAUGAGCAUGAGAUUCGGAGAGAGCUGAGACUCUAGUCCUGGAGCAACGACCCAGCCUCUGUGCAGCCCUUAGAAUGAUAUGUGUGAUGGCUGGUGAUACUUCAGCUAGCAGGCACUAGCAGGGGAGAGAAAUCCCUCUGUGCCAAGGGGGCACGCAAUCCCUAUUCUAGGCUUUUCUCGCUUCCCGUGUGCGCAUGCGCACAAGACAAAGAUGAUGCCAAAAUCUGACUGGGUCAACGGGCGGUGGCGACGAUGCCAAGACUCUAGCUUAGACCCAGUUUAUCAGUUAAGUGGGCAAUAUUAGAAGCAAGCUACUAAUGUCCCAUGGCCCUCAUUCCCUAUACCAAUGAGGACCCCAAGAUAGUUGGAGAUAUUCAUGGCUGGGAGUCAAGUCUAGGCUUCACCUCAGUGCUUUCCCGUCCUGAAGCUCUGCUUCAUGAAUGGUCAGAUGGGAAAGCUCGUCACAAAGAGGUGACAGGAUAUCCUUUUCUGAAAGCCUGCCAGUUAAGUAGGGUAGCGUGAGUGGAAACUCGAGCUGUUUCUCUAAGCCACCAUCCUCGUUCUCCCCAGAGGAUCAUGAGAAAGCCAUUACCGGAAGAGCCAGAUUAGUGGUAACCCUGCUUCGCGGGACUUAGGUAGAUAUAUGUCGCCUUAACCAAGAUAAUAUUUUAGAUCAUCUCCCCAUAUCCUCAUAAUCUACUGGCUUUUAGUUUAAGGGUCCAUACAGGCAGAGUGUGGGCUGCACCCUGGAAAUUUAAAGACAGUCAAUGGAAGUGUCUAGAAAGAAUAAAUAGCAAGAAAGAAAGAAAGAAAGAAAGAAAGAAAGAAAGAAAGAAAGGAAGAAA
rnacentral:lncRNA from 1 species